AUUCUGAAUCUCUUUCAUGAUGACCGCUUACGGUCGUCUAAUUCUUACAACAGAUUGUCCGCCGACUUAUAUUUCAGUCCCAGGAGACCCUGCAGAUGAGCAAUUAUUAUAAUGACCGUUCCUGCCGACAUAAAACCCGAAAUAACUGGGAUCGAUAUAAAAUUCACCAUAAACCCUGCGGGAAUAAUCACAUUUAUCAAUUCUACAUCGGCGUAUAAUUAUGAUUGAUACAAUGGAAAAAACGACGAAAAACAUGGCAAAAGAAUAAUUCUAUGCAUCCUGCCUAAAAAACAGAAGAGCACUACGAAAUCUUGCGGCAUGUCCCGCGUGUAUUGUAAUGUCAGGAGGGCCAUUAAAGACGAUGGACCAAUUGAGAUUUCCUUGAUAGUUCCGAAAAUAAUGUACAGGAAACCACCCACGAAACAAGAAUACAAGCCAUACUGUAAACAUUAUUUACAAUGUGAUAUCUC